UGUAUAACACUUUCAGAAUGUGAAAUUACAUCAUGGUUUGUUUCAAGCGGUGUGCUUUGAACUACUCUUUUGUAAUUAUAUUGUACGAAUCUUUAGUAUUAUGAUGUUAAUUUUACAUUUCAUUGAAAGUUUAUUUUUUGUUAAAUAGUUGAUUUUUUGUUAAAUAAUUGAUUUUUUAUACAACAAAAGAUAUCCCCUUGGCCAAAUUUCUGACUCCGCCUCUACAGAGAUGAGCAUGAUGAGCAUAAGGAUGCAACAUACUUGAAAGAUUGGAGCCAAUUCAUAUUCAAU
rnacentral:lncRNA from 1 species